CAGGAACUGCUCCGGGCCCCGGCAGUCCGAUGGCGCAGCUCUGGGGGGCGCAGGGCUGGGGGAGGCGCCGUCCCCGCCCUCCUGCCGGAGAACAGGGCGCAGAUUCGCGUGCACAGCUCGACUCAGCUCGGCCGGGAAGAUGGAGGUUGGCCUGCCCUUCCCCAGGGAACCCGGGCCCUGUCGCCUGGCAGCAUCCCCACGUCCCGGACUCCGAGGUCAGACUCGCAGCCAGAGAGGCGAUCGGGACGCAGAAACCGAGGCUCAGACAGACAAAAAGACCAGCUCGUGAGUCAUGCAGCUGGCAAGGGGCAGAGGUGGGACUCGAACCAAUCUUGCCUGAUUCAAAAGGUGUGUGUUCUGAGCCAGGAAGCCAGUGCUCCUUAGGCGUGCCACUGACAGUCCUCGCGAUGCCUCGAGGUGAGAUGCAGAGGAACUCCUACUUUAAUUACUAGGCAUUUGUUUGCCUCAACAUGUACUUAUUUCAGUGUGUGUCGGGAAAAAAUAAAUGCCCAUCUGUUUUACAGCACGACAUACUGAUUUUCCUAUUUACAUUAGUGAUACAAAAUGUUCCAGUUAAACUUAUUUAGUGAAGUUCUAAAAAGUUGAGUCCAUUUACAAAUACUGUUGGGUGGAUCAUAAAUAAGACAGGUAAUAAUACCGCAAUGCAGCAAAAAUGACGUGUCUGGGUGUACACAGAGGCUAGAGUUUGAAGAAACGCUGUCCCAGUAACCACCAUGCAUGGAUUAAAAAGAAGCACUCACGUACCCACAAUGAAACUCGUUUUGAAACUCACCCCAUGCGUUUACAAGUUCGUAGAAAGUUGCUUAAAAAAUGCAUCCUAGACCUUGCUUAACGAGGACUGCACCCAGCCUCUUAAUUUCUAAGUUUGUAGCCUGUUUAUU